rnacentral:ncRNA from 1 species
AUAAAUGUCGCGAUUAGAAAUAGUAGAAAUAAAAAGACUUUUCAGAGAGCCGUUGGGUGGUGCGAAACGGCAAUGUCGUUUAUUUCGAACUCGUCUAUGAACAGCUGCCUGACAAUGUAGGGUAAGCCGGAGUUCCACCGUUACAGGGAUAGAUGGUGAUGGCCAUCGAAAAAGAUCGUUUCCGUUAUUUGGAAAUGAAUUAGAGUGGUACCGCGAGUUCAACCUCGUCUCUAUG